GGAAACAGAAGAAGAGUCGUGUGAUUUUACAAGGCUAUUUCCCAAGCCACCGAGCCAAAAUGACAAGGAUCCCAACUAUGUAAGUGAGACUUCCACCAAAGGUUCGACCACUAGGUUCGAUGCCGCUGCUGAAAGUAUCAGAAAAUGUCGUCGUGGGAAGAAAAGGGUCAUCUGUAUUUCGUGGACAAUGAACCCGGGAAGAAAAUUUUAUGGGUGCCCCAACUACGUUCGACCAAGCAGAUUGUGGAUACUUUAGUUGGUGUGAGUCAAUGCUUUCUAAUAGGGCAACCAAGCGCAUUUGCACAUUAUUAGAUCUUAUUGAUGUGGCUGAGAAGAAAUAUGGCAAACUUAUGGUGACUUGUAAGAUGCUUAAGACAUUGACUAUGUGUUUGUCUCUUAUAUUCCUAGCUAUUUUGUUUAAGUUGAUGUUUUAUUAACUUUAUCUAUUUUGUGGUUAGCCAAGUUGUGGUUGUGUUUUUGUGUGUUGUUCUCCCAUCAAGUUAUGUGACAUCAAGGUCUAGUAGUAUGUCGUUUCAUGUUGUUUGUUUAACUUGAGUUGUUACUUUGAUCUGUGUAAAGUAUCACUCACUUUAAAGUUGAGGGAUGUGUUCGUCUUAUUAAUUGAUUGGUUUUAAUUUGAAUCCAUAGGGUACUUGAUUUGUCUUA